rnacentral:rRNA from 1 species
CCUACGGGAGGCAGCAGUAGGGAAUUUUCGUCAAUGGGCGCAAGCCUGAACGAGCAAUGCCGCGUGAACGAGGAAGGUCUUCGGAUCGUAAAGUUCUGUUGAAGGGGAAAAAGAGCGGAGAGAGGAAAUGCUUUCUGAUUGAUAUUACCCUUCGAGGAAGUCACGGCUAACUACGUGCCAGCAGCCGCGGUAAUACGUAGGUGGCGAGCGUUAUCCGGAAUGAUGGGGCGUAAAGGGUGCGUAGGCGGCCUGCUACGUCUGGAGUGAAAGGUACCGGCUCAACCGGUACAGGCUCUGGAAACUGGCGGGCUAGAGAGCAGGAGAGGGCGGUGGAACUCCAUGUGUAGCGGUAAAAUGCGUAGAUAUAUGGAAGAACAUCAGUGGCGAAGGCGGCCGCCUGGCCUGUUAACUGACGCUGAGGCACGAAAGCGUGGGGAGCAAAUAGGAUUAGAUACCCGUGUAGUC